GAUGAAGAACGCAGCGAAAUGCGAUAAGUAAUGUGAAUUGCAGAAUUCAGUGAAUCAUCGAAUCUUUGAACGCACAUUGCGCCCGCCAGUAUUCUGGCGGGCAUGCCUGUUCGAGCGUCAUUUCAACCCUCAAGCUCUGCUUGGUGUUGGGGACCGGCCGCAGCCUCAGUGCUCUGCCGCCCCCUAAAUACAGUGGCGGUCCCGCCGCAGCCUCCUUUGCGUAGUAGUAAACCACCUCGCACAUGGAACGCAGCGUGACCACGCCGUUAAACCCCCAACUUUCUGAAGUUUGACCUCGGAUCAGGUAGGAAUACCCGCUGAACUUAAGCAUAUCAAUAAGCGGAGGA
rnacentral:misc_RNA from 1 species